rnacentral:rRNA from 1 species
UACGUAGGGACCAAGCGUUGUCCGGAAUCAUUGGGCGUAAAGAGCGUGUAGGCGGCUUGUUAAGUCUUGCGUGAAAUCUCGGGGCUCAACCCCGAGCGGUCGUGAGAAACUGGCAGGCUAGAGUGCGGGAGAGGAGAGUGGAAUUCCUGGUGUAGCGGUGAAAUGCGCAGAUAUCAGGAAGAACACCCGUGGCGAGGGCGGCUCUCUGGAACGCAACUGACGCUGAGACGCGAAAGCGUGGGGAGCAAACAGG